ensembl:lncRNA
CUUUUUGAAUUUGAAGGGUCCAAGAAUGAACACUGUGUUCCUUGUGUAAAUUCACCAGUGUUCAUGAGGAGAAUGAUACAAACUCUCAGUCUCCUGCCACAUUCCUUCUCCUGUACAUAAAUAUGGAGCAUGACUUAUUCACUGCUUAAGGGCUCUUGUCUUGUGUUGAACUCAGCAUUCACAAUGCUCACAUCCUUUUCAGAAGAAUUCUUGCUGCAGCUGAGUCCCAUCUGUACCAAUAAAUAGCUUUACUCUGUACAUGUGUGAAACAUGCUCUUCUCCUUGUCAGACUCUAUGACAAGGAGUUUCUGCUCACUCAUUCUUACAGUUCAUCAAAAGCCCUAUAGAAUGAGUCUUAUUUAUUUGCUUUAACAGUCACUCAAUAAUGGAGUAUUGACUUUGCUCAUUGGAUAUCUAAUCUGUCUCAUUUAAUUUGUCUGCUUAAUUUCUUUAAUCCUUUCUGAACCUCCUGAUACUGUGUCUCCACAAUCUCCUCUGACAAAAAGCUCCAGCACAUUAUUUCUUCCCUCAUAUGUAUUUGAUACCUAAAAAUAAUAAUAAUAAUCCAGAGAUUUUAAUAUUCACAGCAAAGUCCAAAAGCUUAUAGGGAUUAAGAUAAUUUGCAAAGUUACAAAUUAUAUUGUAGCUUUCCCCAAAUCUGUUCAUUUGAGGUCCAUGGAGACAUGAUUUUCCAUAUAUGAUCAGUUCUGCUUUCUUUCUUGUCUUUCGUAAUUAAGUAUCUAAUUCAACAUAACACCUAGGAACAUCCAUCAGCAUGUUCUUUGUGUGUUUUACUGAAUAAUUAUGAUGUAUACAAUCUAGUGCGCUGCUGAAUUAGGGCCUAAGCAGCUACUCAGUUGUCAGAUAUACUUAAUGAUUUAUUUUAUUUUUUAAGUUCCUCAGUGCGUGUAUGGAAACAAUGACUUUACAACAUGGUACGAUGCCACAGCUACAGGAAUUUUCAACAGUUUGGUCACUCUUUCAGAGAGGGGCCCAAAACUGAACACAGUACUCAAGGUGCUGCCUCAUCAGUGCUGAGAACAGAGGGAUGAUGACUUCCCUGCUCCUGCUGCCAGCACUAUUUCUGAUACAAGGCAGAAGAAUUCACCUUCAGUGGCCACUUUGUCUAAUAUCAUGAAUCUCUGAAGCAGUGCAUGUAACAGGAAAGCAGAGAUGUAUCUGCAUUAGCAAUGUGAGUAAUCUGUUUAAUAAUAGUGGUCAUCAUGGUUGAAGUUGGUCUUGAUUUCUGUAAAAUGUCACAAUUGUGAUCUAGGUCAAGUUUUCAUGUUAAGACACCAAAAUGGAAUACUGGUGUUGUUGUGUUUGUGAUGUUCUAAUGAUAUGAGAGAGCAGUUCUCUUGAGAAAUAAUGUCUUUCAGUAGAUUUAAUAG